CACCCCUUUUCGCGGGAAACAAAUUUCCUGACCUGGCACACGGUACCAACUUUAUACGCUCUGCUGUGGAAAAUCCCAAUAACCUUCACCUUUAACUUAUGCAAAUUUCGGAGGUCAGGUCAUUUGUGUUGUCGUAUUCGGCCAUUUUUUUCAUCUAUCGGAUGCUGCAUGGCUUUGCGUGAGAAAAGAAAUCAAGCACUACAUCAGAAAAGGACGUUGACAGCCGUAUACGCAACAGCGUCUGUUUCUUCUGGGAUCAGCUGAGGAGGAGCAGACUUCAGAAAGUUGACUGAGAUGUCAGACGACAGCUUGACUUUCUGUUCCCAAGCAGUAGACUCGGGAACAAGUUUUCUGGAUUUUCCAGACAACAGUCUGCAGUUUUCAGAAAGCCAGACACGUGGUAGUGACUCGAAUCAGGGAAUAGCUCCAGUUCCAUCCACCUCAACCCACCAAGUGAGGCCAAGCCAACCUAUUCUGAUUGAAUCUUCUGAGAGUUCCAUCAGUCCCUCUCUCAUCUCGAAGAAGAGAGGAAGAAAAAAGCCUUGUGCUUUUCCUGUUCCUCGGCCAGACGGUACCUGUCUUCAGAGUGCUCUUAGUCAAAUAUUAUGAACAAAUGGUGAUUAAAUUUUAUGUCAUGUUGUAGAAUAAAGCCUUGUGAAUCCAAAA